rnacentral:rRNA from 1 species
GGGUCAGUAGGUUGGUCGUGCCACCGGUACGUACUGGUCUCACUGAUUCCUCCUUCCUGAAGAACCGUAAUGCCAUUAAUUUGGUGUUGCGGGGGAACAGGACUGUUACUUUGAGAAAAUUAGAGUGUUUAAAGCAAGCUAACGCUUGAAUACAUUAGCAUGGAAUAAUGAAAUAGGACGAUCGAUCCUAUUUUGUUGGUUUCUAGGAUUGACGUA